UACGUAGGGUGCGAGCGUUGUCCGGAAUUAUUGGGCGUAAAGAGCUUGUAGGCGGUUUGUCGCGUCUGCUGUGAAAAUCCGGGGACUCAACCCCGGACUUGCAGUGGGUACGGGCAGACUAGAGUGUGGUAGGGGAGACUGGAAUUCCUGGUGUAGCGGUGAAAUGCGCAGAUAUCAGGAGGAACACCGAUGGCGAAGGCAGGUCUCUGGGCCACUACUGACGCUGAGAAGCGAAAGCGUGGGGAGCGAACAGG
rnacentral:rRNA from 1 species